rnacentral:rRNA from 1 species
CGUAGGGUGCGAGCGUUGUCCGGAUUUAUUGGGGCGUAAAAGGGCUCGUAGGUGGUUGAUCGCGUCGGAAGUGUAAUCUUGGGGCUUAAACCCUGAGCGUGCUUUCGAUACGGGUUGACUUGAGGAAGGGUAGGGGAGGAAUGGAAUUCCUGGUGGGAGGCGGUGGAAUGCGCAGAUAUCAGGAGGAACACCAGUGGCGAAGGCGGUUCUCUGGGCCUUUCCUGACGCUGAGGAGCGAAAGCGUGGGGAGCGAACAGGCUU